UGGUAGGAUAGAGGCCUACCAUGGUGGUAACGGGUAACGGGGUGUUAGGGCACGACACCGGAGAGGGAGCCUGAGAAACGGCUACCACAUCCAAGGAUGGCAGCAGGCGCGCAAAUUACCCAAUCCCGACACGGGGAGGUAGUGACAAUAAAUAACAAUACGGGGUUCUUUAGGAUCUCGUAAUUGGAAUGAGUACAAUUUAAAUCUCUUAACGAGGAACAAUUGGAGGGCAAGUCUGGUGCCAGCAGCCGCGGUAAUUCCAGCUCCAAUAGCGUAUAUUAAAGUUGUUGCAGUUAAAAAGCUCGUAGUUGAAUUUCGGGGUUAGUAGGUUGGUCAUGCCUCUGGUAUGUACUGGUCUCACUGAUUCCUCCUUCCUUAUGAACCGUAAUGCCAUUAAUUUGGUGUUGCGGGGAAUUUGGACUGUUACUUUGAAAAAAUUAGAGUGUUUAAAGCAAGCUAACGCUUGAAUACAUUAGCAUGGAAUAAUGAAAUAGGACGUUCGAUCUUAUUUUGUUGGUUUCUAGGAUUGACGUAAUGAUUAAUAGGGAUAGUUGGGGGCAUUAGUAUUCAAUUGUCAGAGGUGAAAUUCUUGGAUUUAUUGAAGACUAACUACUGCGAAAGCAUUUGCCAAGGAUGUUUUCAUUAAUCAAGAACGAAAGUUAGGGGAUCGAAGACGAUCAGAUACCGUCGUAGUCUUAACCAUAAACUAUGCCGACUAGGGAUCGGAU
rnacentral:rRNA from 1 species